GAUUUUAUUUCUUUGCGUUGGUUGGGUUUUUGAUGUGGUUUUGGAUUUCCGAGGUGGUUUUGAUAUCUCUGAUGAUGGCAGCGAAUCAGUUCUUGUAGUUCCUGCUUUUCUUGAUUUAGUUCUUGUAGUUCGUGCUUUUCUUGAUUUUAAUUUACUUUUUUUUUUUUUUUUUUUUGAGAUUUCUUGUGUGUUCUUGUUUGUUUUGGUUUCUUUUUUGUUUACUGUGUUUUAUGAAGAUUCUUCUUUUUAAGUAGGAAUAUCUGGUCCUCUUCUAUUUUAGAGUUUGCCUUUUAUGAAGAUACUUCUUUUUAAGCAGGAAUAUCUGGUCUUCUUCUAUUUUAGAGUUUGCUCUCAUGGAGGUUUAUAGAGUGAUGGUUCUAUUUUUGUUUCAGAUUUACUUGAGAUCCUACAAGAAAGUGCGUUUGAAGGAUAUAAGCUCAUCCAAGCUCUGUAAGAUAAUUGAUUUUCUGUAACAUAAGCUUUUUGGUGCUUCUAUGCAGCAUCCUCGGAUUCUACUCCGGUAUUUUUUCUUGGUGAUUGCUUGCAGUUUAAUUGGUGAGGGCGGUUUGAUAGGAGGGUUAUAUUACGACUCCUCUUGGUGAGGUGUUUUGUAAAAUUGUGCUGAUAGGUUCCUUUUCUUCUUCACAUUUCAAGAGUUUUCUUCAUAUUUCAAGUGUUUUGAGGUGGUGGCUUAUGUAAUUGGGUUAAUUCUGGUUUAAUUCUGUUCGGUUGCUGGGUUUGAUCUCCAGAACUCUUCAAGAGUAGUACUCUGGGUUAUUUGUGUAACUUAUGCUGAUGGAAAAUGGCAAUCUUGAGAAAGUGGUGAUGUUCUGCAGUUAGGGGGUUAGUUAUUUUAGAAGGCUGGAUUGGUUUGAUUUCAGAUGGUAUUAUUCUAUUUAAGCAUUGUUGUGACUUGUCUGCAUAUCCAGCUCAGUGGAUGGGUGGAUGGGUUGAAGGGCCGGUUGUUGCAAUUAUAGGAAAUGUGUUGAAGUGCUUAUCUCCAUCCGUUAUUUUCUCAAAUGAUGGAUUCUGAGUUGAUCGGGCUUCGGGGAAACAAUUAUCUCUUUUUGGUCUAAGGUUCACAGAUGGUUCAUGUUUUUUGGGAAAACAGGUUUCCAUUUUGAUUUGAAGACAAGUUUCAAUUCUUUUAAUUGUGGUGGCAUGUAUUAAGUUUAUGGUGAACAAGUUAUCUCUGUCUGCCUUUUUGGGAUAUCUGGUAAUUCUUUUGGCUUGAUUAUACCAAGGUAACUGGUUGGAUGCUGCAGUGCAUCUACAACAAAAGUUGGUUUCUCAUAUCCCACUCUAUCUGGAUAUAGAAACCGAGUCCAGUUUGGAUCAGGACUGCCUGGGGACAGAUCACUAUUUUAGCAGAUGUGCGAUUUGAUUUGGUUUGAUAUUGUUUUUUAGAGGCCUGCUUUCAUAGGUGCUGUGACGUGCUUUUCAUGGAGGCAAUGAUGCAGGCAUGGAUGUACUAUUUUGAUGUUCCUCUUGAGAUUGCUGGUUUCUUUCUGGUCUAUAUUGAACUAUUUUUUAUCAGUGGCAUAUAAUUUAUUGGAUCAUUUGCGCUAAUCUCGACGACUAUAUGAACUAAAUUUUGACUGGAUUGGUUAGGGAGUUGUCUUGUGGCCAUAGCGUGUUAUUGUAGUUAUUUUGGGCGAUCUACUGAAUUCUCUCACUUUUAGUUAUGUGCUUUUUGUUUAGGUUUUCAUUUGUACUUGCGGCUUUUCGGAAUGGUUGAAGAUAGUCAUGCGAGAUUGCAAUCACAACUUAAAUUGGGGUUUUCUCUAGUUUUGGGCAGCUUUUAUGUUACCUUCCUUUAUGAGAUUCGACAUUUUUAGUUCAGUUUAAAUUUGGAGUUUCGGAGAUGAGUGGCCAUUAUUGUCAUUUGUUGGCAUAUUUGAUUAUAGGUGCAUCAAAGAUUUGAAGAAUGGCAUCUGUUUUCUGGUUCAAUCAGUUGAUCUAUUUACAAAUCAUACCAGCUUGACCCACUCGAACAUGAAGCCCAAAGAGAUUGUCUCAGGCCUCAUACUAUUGGUUUGGUUAUAUUUGAGUUUGAUAUUUAGUCUUAAUUUCUGGAGGCAUCUAGUAUUAAGCUCUUAUCUUCUGUUUCUGAAGUCUUAGUUUGCAAUGAUUAUUCUCCUUAGGUACCAUGGUGAUUGGUCGUUGCAGACGGUGGCACACCUGGGGCCGUUUUGAGUUUGUUGUGUUUCUGUGUGGAUUGACUUAUCUGGAUUCAACUUUGGUCCUUUCUUGUUGGCUAGCCUAGAGUUGCUUUUAUUUAUUAUAUGACGAUACUCGUGUGGCCUGGCGAUGCUGUAGGUGGGGGAGCUAUAUCAAUUGGUGGUUUGCUUAGUUGGCUUCAUGGCUUACUGCUGGUGGGAGGGCUCCAUUUGGUAUGUUUAAAUUAUAGUAAAGUGUUAUGGAUCUCUCAAAUGUAUAUAUGCUAGCUGUUGUUGUGUUACGGGUUUUGGUUGCCUCAUGUUGCUGGCAACCAUAUUUUUAGCUGAUCUGUAUUUGAGUUUCCUGUAGCAUUUUGUUGGGUGGCUGGCUGUUAGGUUUCUAUAUGCUUUAUUGCUGGAAGACAUGUGGACAAUAUGAGGUGACGAUAGUGCCAAGAACAUUCAAUUAUCAGAGACAUUUGUAUCAUUUAUCAUUUAUGGAACUCUGUUAAAUGGGCGUAAGUUAUCCUUGAUAUCUCUGGAUGUCAAUUUCUUUGAUGAUACACUCUAUAUUGGUUUCUGCCUGAUCUAUGAGGUGCAGGCAACCAGAAGGGUCACCACGAAUGGAAUGGGGACUGGUGCACAUGGUUAUUACUUGAGAUCUGUUUGCAAAAGAUGGUUUGAUCUGUCUCUUUACCUGACCUAUGACUUGAAGUUGUCUGAGUUGUCUAGUGUUGGAUUGAUUCUUGAGAUAUUUAUUUAUUGGAUAUUCAGAGAUCGGAGGUGGAAGAGAAGGGUUAUGGUGAUGUUGUCCGUUGGUUCUUUACUUUUUUAUUGGUCUGGGUCAGUUUCGUACAAUAAUGUAGUUUUUGCUCAUUGGUUGUAAAUGUUUAUAUGUUGAUUGUGAAAUCUUGAUUUGUAUUGAUUGUUCUCCUUAGGUACCAUGAUGAUUUGCCCUUGUAAUCGAUGGGGAACACAUUGGACUAUUUGGAGUUUGUCGUCUAGCAGUGUGUUUGGUUUUGUUUGGACCCAACGUUUGAACUUCUUUCUUGUUGUCUAGCCUGGGGUUGCUCUUUGUUAAUUAUAUCAUUAUUCCCUUCUCUCUCUCAAUGCUGUAGGUGGGGAACACAUUGGACUGUUUCGAGUUUGUUGUCUUAUGGUUGGUUUUGUUUGGUCCCAACUUUUGAACUUCUUUCUUGUUGUCUAGCCUGGAGUUGCUCUUUGUUAAUUAUAUCAUUAUACGCUUGUGUCCCUCGAUGCUGUAGGUGGGGGAGCUAUCUAUCAAUCGGUUGUUUGCCCAAUGGGAUCCAUUGUAUACGGCUGCUGUGUCAGCUCAAUUUAGUAUGGUUUAAUUAUAGUUUAGUGUUUUGGAUUUCUCAGAGGUAUAUACAUUGGCUGUUAUGUUGGUAGUUUAGGCUGCAUCAUUGUGGUAGCUACAAUAUUGUUAAUUGAUUUGUAUUUGAGUUUCUGGUUGCAUUUUGCUGGAUGACUUGCAGUUGGGUUUCUAUAGUUUGAGGUGACUGGAGCUCCAGGAACAUCGUUUACCAUUUAUAGAGCUAUGAUGAAGCAUCAUACUCUCUUGAUCUCUUUGGAUUUCAAUUUCAUUGAUGAUACAUUCUGCAUUGGUUUUCUGCCUGAUCUUCGUGGUCUCUGGGUAGUUGUGUCUUUGGUGUUUGUAUUAGUGAACUCUCCAGUGGUGGACUAGGAGCGCCAACACACAAGGAAUGGGGACGGGUACAUUGGGUUGUUAAUUGAGAACAGGUUGCAAAGUGAAAGAUGGUUUGAUCUGUGCCUCUUGUCCUGACCUUUCAUGUGAAUUGUAGUUUUUUGAGUUUAGUUUUGGAUUGAUUUUUACCAUCUUUUAGUCAUCGUUUGGUUUGAGAUGGAAAGAGAAUCAAAAGUCAACUGAGAUAUGCAUUUUUUGGUUUUUCAGAUAUUGGAGGUGUGGAAUAAAGGAGAUUUGGUGGUGUUGUUCAUUCACUUCUAAAUUUUUUUGGUGGUUCCUUUUGGUUUUUCAGAUAUUGGAGGUGUGGAAUAAAGGAGAUUCGGUGGUGUUGUUCAUUCACUUUUUAUUUUUUUGGUGGUUCCUUUUAUUCAAUAUUUUCUUUAGUUGAGCUCAUGUAGGAGUUGUUGUAUAUUGGUCCAUCCCUAUACUCUAUUCUCUCUCUUUAAAUAAGUUCUUGACAAUUUGUUGUGUUUGUUACUUUGGUAUUUGGGCGUUGCCUCGUAUUCUAUGUUUAUUUUGUUUUCCUUGAGAUUUGUAUAGUUUGAUUAUCAUUUUGGGCUUCAGCACAUUUUGUUAUCUGUUGUUUUUGAUUUGUGAUUGUGAAUUCUUAGUUUUUUAAUGAUUAUUCUCCGUAUUUACCAUGGUGAUUGGUCUUUACAGACGGUGGCACACAUGGGGCCGUUUCGUGUUUGUUGUCUGGCGGUGUGGUUUGAUUCAUCUGGAUUCAACUUUGGACCUUUGUUGUCGGCUUGACUAGAGGUUCUUUUUGUUAAUUAUAUGUUGACAAUCUUGCGGCCUGGCGAUGCUAUAGGUGGGGGAGCUAUAUAUCAUUUGGUGGUUUGCUAAAUGGGCUCCAUGGCAUACGGCUGCUGGGUGGGCUCUUUUUGGUAUGUCUAAAUUAUAGUGCAGUGUGAUGGAUAUCUCAGAUGUAUACGUUGGCUGUUGUUAAUGUUUGGGGUUUUGGCUGCAUCAUGUUGCUAACAACCAUAUUUUUAGCUGAUCUGUAUUUGAGUUUCCUGUAGCAUUUUUGGGUGGCUGGCAGUUAGGUUUCUAUAUACUUUCUUGCUGGAAGAUAUGUGGACAGUCUGAGGUGACGAGAGUGCCGAGAACAUUCAAAUAUCAGAAACUUGUGUACCAUUUACUUCGUAUCUUUGGAUGUCAAUUUCGUAGAUGAUACUCUCUAUAUUGGUUUCUGGCUGAUCUAUGAGGUGUGUAGGUAGGUCCAUUCUUGGGGUCUUUAACAGUGACUCUUCUGGACCAGAAACGCCAACACAAAUGGAAUGGGGUCGGGUGCACGAUGUUAUUAAUUGAGAUCUGGUUGCAAAAGAUGGUUUGAUCUGCCUUUUGCGCUAAACUAUUUGACUUGUUGUUGUCUGAGUUGUCUAGUGUUGGAUUGAUUCUUCCUUCCACCUAUAGGUGGGGAAGCUAUAUAUGGACUGAUUGUUUUCCCAAUGGGCUUCUUGACAUACGGCUGUUUGUUGGGCUCUAUUUUUUAUGUUUUAAUUAUAGUGAAGUGUUUUGGAUCAUUAUUAUUGGUGUGAUUCUGUAGGUGGGGAGGCUAUAUAUUUGCCCAAUGGGCUCCUUGGCAUACGGCUGCUUGGUGGCUUCUAUUUGGUAUGUUUUAAUUAUAGUGAAGUGUUUUGGAUCUUUCUGUGGUAUAUUAUACACUGGCUAUUUUUAUGUUCGGGGUUUUGGCUCCAUCAUGGUGCUAGCAAACCAUAUUGCCAGUUGAUUUGUAUUUCAGUUUCUUGUUGCAUUUUGUUGGAUGACUUGGAUUUCUUUAUGCUUUGCGAAUGGAACAUUUGGAAAGUUUUGAGGUGAUGAGAGUGCCAGGAACAUUCAAAUGUCAAAAACAUAGUGUACCAUUUAUAGACGUCUGAAAUGAAUGGGCGUAAGUUAUCUUUAAUAUCGUUGGAUGUCAAUUUCAUUUAUGAUACAUUCUAUAUUGGGUUUCUACCAGAUUUAUGAGGUGUCAGGGUAGUUCCAUCUUUGGCGUUUGUAAUAGUGACUAGCGCCAACCCAAAUGGAAUUCUUCGGUGUUGGAGAAGGAGCCCCAACCCAAAUGGAAUGGGGACGGCUAGACUGGGUUAUUAAUUGAGAACUAGUUGCAAAGUGAAAGAUGGUUUGAUUUGUGCGUCUUGCCCUGACCUAUGUGAAUUGCAGUUGUCUGAGUUGCUGUUGCUUUGAUCUAUAUUUUUCUUUAGUCACCUUUUGGUUUGAGAUGAAAUGAGGGUGAAGUCAAUUGAAAAGUGCAUAUAUUGGUUUUUCAGAGAUCGGAGGUGGAAGAGAAGCGAUUUGGUGAUAUUGUCCAUUCACAUUUACUUUUUAUUGGUGAUUCCUUUCAUUCAUGAUUUUCUUUAGCUGAUUUGCCUGUAGGAGCCAUGGUAUAUUGGUACAUCACUAUAUAGGAUGCUAUUAUGUCGCUCUUAUUACGGUCUUGACAAUAUGUGUGUUUUUUUCAUCUGUCUGGUCUUUUCCUCUUUAUUCUAUAUUUUAUUAUUUGCCUUGAGAUUUGUGUUUGUAUAUAGCUGGAUUCUCAUAUUUGGCUCCAACACAUUCUCGUAUCUUUCCCCCUCUUUUCUUUCUGACUGGAACAUGAGGACAGUAUUAGGUGUCACAAUUGCCAAAAAGCCCCCAAUUGUUAUUUUUAAGGUUUUGUGAUUUUAAUGUAUUUUUUGGGAGGGAAACUAUAGGACUUGUGAUUGUCUGUGUAAUGUAGAAGCCCCCAAAUUUUUUCCAACAAUUUUUUCUCAGUAGAUCAAAUUAUUGAGUAUCUUGGUGGUCAUUUUCGGGGAUCUUUCUUUUUGGUUUGGCUUUCUCUUCUUCUUGUCUAUUAAGGUUUCUCCCAUUGAUCAAGCUAGUUUGUUCUGUUCCUCUGUGGCCCAAGUGGGAGUGGGUGCAAACUCAAUAUCUGAUUGGCCUCGCAUUGAUUCAACAGGAGAUGUAUUGCAUUAUACAAUCUGAGAUAUUUUUGGCUUAGACAACUGGACCAAAAGAUGCAUUCUUGAGAGAGAAACUACUAGUAUGGGAUUUUCUUGGGUCUUCUGAUUUUUUUAGGUUUAUUGGUUCGACUCAGAUUUGUAUGCUCUUUAGUUUUUUGCUUCAAUUUCUUGUGUGCUUUUGAUUGUAUUCAUGUGCUCUUUAAAUUUUUUAUUUUUUUUUGUCAUUUUUGGGUAGCAUUUGUGGUUUAUAGGAUGAUGGUUGUGUUUUUAUUUCAGCGUACUUAAGUUGUGGCUUCAAAGGUCUAUGCUAAUCUAAUCAUCUACCCGUAAGAUAGUCCUUUGCGCGUUUUGUUGGGCCAUUCUUUCAUGAUUGUCUCUACCAAUACUCCAGUUUUCUCCCUCCGAUUCUUCUCUGGUAUUGUUUCUUGGUGAUUGCUUGCAGUUUAACGGUGACUGCUUGCAGUUUAACGGUGACUGCUUGCAGUUUAACGGUGACUGCUUGCAGUUUAACUGGUUUUGGUGGAUUUCGUCAACACUCGAGCAGCCCUCUGACUCUCCUCUAGGUGUGAUGUUGUUUUGUGAAGUUGUUAAAGAGGGGUUCUUUUGUUGUUAUGUCAAGCGAUCAUUGGAUGAGUUGAGGCAUGCAUCUUCUAUGGAUGAAGAGCAACAUGUUGAGGUGUUAUGUCAACCCAUGGAUUCCCUGAUGGUUUGUAGUGUUUUGGGAAGAUAAUUACUUCUUGAUGCCACUUUUCUAUUCCUCUAUGGUAUAAUCAUGAUCACUAUGUGCAAUUUUUUGGAUGCUUAAAUAUUGGGAGUACUCUUCGAUGAUUUCAUGAGGGGAGGAACUUUGCUGGAUGUUGUUGGGGCUCUUGGCAUAAGUUGUUCCUGCAUUUGAUAUCUACCUGGAUUUGAAUCUGGUUUGCGUUAUGGACUCAUUUUGUUUGGAUAUCCAUUAUGAGAUUAUAAUUGGGUUGGUAUUGUUUUUGGAGGCUUGCAUUUGCCUUGCUUUCAGGGUUCUGGCUUGUUGAAAGUUUUGUGCCAUUAGGUGCCUUGUGAUGCUAUUAUUGGAGGCAAUAGUGGAGGCGUACGUGGUAUUUGUUCGAUGUUCCUUUGAGUUUUCUGGAUUUCUUCUGUUGUGUUGAGUUAUUUUAUCAUGAACAUCUUUUUUAUUGUAUCAUUGCUGAACAUGACAAGUACUGGAGUUGGCUGUUUUGACUGGAUUGGUUCUAGAGUUAUGCAAGUUUUAUUUCUUGUGGUUUAGAUAGGCAGCUGAAUUUGCAGUUUAAUUAUUCACCAGAAAAAAAAUGUCAGUUUAAUUUGGUUUGUUUUUUAAGUUAUGAUGUGGAUGUACAUCUUUGAUUGAUGCAUAAUGGCUUGUGAUAGUUGUGUAAGAACAAUAGAGUUACCUACCUUGUCUCUUUGUUUUAUAUUUUUGUUAUGCUACAAAACUUUUUGGAGUUGUCCUUCGAUGGUUUUUGUGCCGAAAUGUAUCCGCUAGAGGUUUGGAAGAAGAUUGUUGUAGUCUUUUGAAAAGUUCAGCUGCAUAUCCAGUCUUCAAUGAUCUUUACAGGUCUUUAUUUGUUCUCGUCCUAGUUACACUCUUAUGCAUGUCAGUAUUGGCCCCCAUGUGUUUGUUCAAAUCAGUUGUUACCUCUUGUUGCUUGCUCUUCUUUGUGUCGGAGGUUUUUCUCUGCAUUGUCAUGAUUGAACGACUGAAACAUGGAUUGCUCUGCCACUUUAAUAAGAUACAUGGAUAUAUAUGGAUGUGUUGAAUCAUUAGUUUGUUUGUGUUUUAAGAUUGUUGGCGUUUUCUUUGUUGCAUCAGUUACAUGUUGAUGCUGGAUUCUCCAUUGUCGAGCACAUUGGGGAGGGAGAGUUGCUGGCAAAAUGCAAUGUUCGAUUUGAUGUACAUCUUGACCUGAAUCCCGUUAAUGCAUUGUGCGAAGACAUUGUGUUCAACAGUUGUGCUUGAUUUCAUUGGUGCUAUCUCAGGAAAAUGUGGUGGUGGUGGUCUUUUUUUUUUGGGGGUAUUUGUUGGUAUAGAUGCAAAGAUAAGCCAUUUGGGUACAUCCCAAAUUUACUUCUAUAGGAUUUCAGUGUCAUGCGAUGGCUUUAUGUAUGUUUCUGUUUCGAUUUUGAAGUUCUUAUUUUUUUUAUUAUUGAACAUGUAAAUAUUUGAUGGUGAGGUAAUGGUAUGCAUCUGCGUGCAUAGAAAUUUAAAUUUGAUCUCCCAUGUUUAGUUAAAUUGUCACUCUUAGCUUUUGGAAAUGAGAUCUGCAUUUGUACUUGUAUCCAAUCGAUUAUGCGUUCCUAGUCGAUGGUCGACAAUGUGAGCUUUUUAUAAAAAACUAGGUGUUUUUAUUUAUAUGUUUUUUUAUCAAAAGUAAAUGGCCUUAUUAAAUUAUUUAUAUUUUGUAAAUUUUACCCAUAUGAUAUAUGUUGGAAUUAUAAAUGUUUGUUUCGAGGGAGUGUAUUUGUAAAGAAAAGGAGAUGCCAUUUGUUAAGUCGAUUUCCAAUUGUAAAAACAUCCAAUCACGGGAUAAUAGCAUUAUUGUGGGGGUGCGGUAGAAAUUUUUGUCGAUUUGGAUGGGUUGUGUUUUGGAGUGUGUUGCGGUGACUAACUAAUUUAAGAUCUGUAAUUGCAUAUUAAAGCUGUAAUAAAGAUUUUAUUUUGACCCAGUUCUGGUUGGAAUUUGGAUGUUUAGUUUUGUGAUGUAGCCAACUGUGAGGGUGACAUGGAGCGUCGAAUUUAUUAUGGUCUCUGGGUCAUUAUUACCAGCAAGCAAUACUUUUUUCUCUAAAAUCUAAGAUCAUUGCUUUAAAAGAAAUUGAAUUUUGAGGUUCCAGCAAUUAUAUCGUGUCUCAUAAAAAACUUUCGGGUGGUCUUGUUCAAUGUUGAGAUAUUUUCUAUGUAUUUUAAUUUUUUUGUUCUCUUUCCUCCCCCCUGCCCCAAAAAAUUGGCCGUUAAGAUUAUAUUUUGCCUCAAAAUUUGGUGCCCGUUUGAUACCCUUAAAAUGGGUUUUCCUGGUGGGAGCAAGUAGGCUGUACGGAAAUAGAUGAAUAAACUAUAUGGCUUAUGCAAUGAACAUCAUUAGAAAGAUGGCGUAAAGCUUACAUGACAAGCAUCUGUUAAUUUCAUUUUAAAUCUGCCUACGAAUAUGAGUCACUUUGGUAACCAAACAUACUUCGAUAACCAAACAUGGUUGAUGUAUCUUGCUGUACAAAUAUGCAAGUAAAACAAUUUCACGCGUCUGAAAUUUCUUGAAAAUGUGUUUAACUAGGAAAUUGAUAUGGGAUCUCUAUUGCCACACGUGGUUGUUUUUAUUAUAAUGGCCUGCUUCUUGAUUUAAUUUGAGUUUAUAUGGUUUUUUUGUGUUUGAUUGUUUUGACUUUUUGAUUUUUAUACUUGUUUAUUUUCGGUUUCACGGUUCUAGUUUCAUUAUGCUUUCAUUUUGACUAAUGGGUUUUUGAGGUCUUGUGAUUACCUUUGAGUGGUGUUAUGGUUUUUUGUUUUUUUUUAUUUUUGGAUUUUGGUGAUGCUUCUUGGCAAAUCAUCUUCCUGAUUUUUUACGUUUCUUGAUUAUAAUACUAGGAUCGAUCUUUUUAUAAUUCCAAUUGUUUUGCUGUGGCAUUUUGGUUUGUUUUGGUUUCUUGAUUUUACUCUGUUCUAUAAAGUUCCCUAUAUGUAAUCACGGGCUCUUUAAUUAUGUUUUUGUCAUUUAAGGUUAUCAUUGUAGUUCAGGGAGUAAUGGUUAUAUUUUCUGUUUCUGAAAAUAGUUGAGACCUUACUAGAAUGUGUAAUUAAAGGAUCUUAAUCUACAGUGUAAGAUACUCAAUUCUUGGUUUCACGGUUCUAGUUUCAUUAUGCUUUCAUUCUGACGAAUGGGUUUUUGAGGUCUUGUGGUUACCUUUGUGUGGUUUUAUUUUCGUAUUUUUUUUAUUUAUGGAUAUUGGUGAUGCUUAUUGGCAAAUUACUUCUUAAUUUUUUACGUUUCUUGAUUAUAAUACUAGGAUCAUUUUAUAAUUCCAAUUGUUUUGCUGUGGCGUUUUGAUUUGUUUUGUUUUCUUGAUUUCACUCUGUUCUAUAAAGAUCCCUAUAUGUAAUUAUGGGCUCUUUAAUUAUGUUUUUUGUCUUUUUAGGUUAUCACUAUGGUUCAGGGAGUAAUGGUUAUAUUUUCAGUUUCUGAAAAUAGUUGAGACGUUACUAGAAUGUGCAUUUAAAGGAUCUUAAUCUACACUCUAUAAGAUAAUCAAUUCUCGGUUUCACGGUUCUAGUUUCAUUAUGCUUUCAUUCUGACUAAUGGGUUUUUGAGGUCUUGUGGUUACCUUUGUGUGGUUUUGGGUUUUUGAGGUCUUGUGGUUACCUUUGUGUGGUUUUAGGGUUUUUCGUAUUUUUUUUAUUUGUGGAUUUUGGUGAUGCUUCUUGGCAAAUCACUUCUUCCUGAUUUUUUACGUUUCUUGAUUAUAAUAUUAGGAUCUUUUUAUAAUUCCAAUUGUUUUGCUGUGGUGUUUUGAUUUGUUCCCUAUAUGUAAUCAUGGGCUCUUUAAUUAUGUUUUUUGUCUUUUUAGGUUAUCAUUGUGGUUUAGGGAGUAAUGGUUAUAUUUUCUGUUUCUGAAAAUAGUUGAGACCUUACUAGAAUGUGCAUUUAAAGGAUCUUAAUCUACACUCUGCAAGAUAAUCAAUUCUCUAUAAGAUAUGUUAUGGUGGCUUUAUGUGACAAUUAAAUUUCACAAUUUUUUGAUAUGGUUUAGGGAGUGAUGUUCUAUUUUGUGUUUCAGAGUCAUUUUUGUGUUUCACAAUUUGUUGAGUCUUUUUAGGUUUUUGUGUUUCACAAUUUUUUGAGUCUUUUUAGGUUAUCAAUAUGCUUUAGGGAAUGGUGGAUCUAUUUUGUGUUUCAGAGAAUGCUUGAGUUUGGUUUUGCGGUCUGUUGGUUAUUUUUUUGUGGUUUUAGGGUUUCUUUUUUAUAUUUUAUUUCUGAGUUCUUUUAGGACGCCCCUUUGGGUGAUAUUAUUUUGUGAAUUUGUCGAUGAGGGGUUCUUUUGUUCAAGAUCAAAUUUCUCUCUGGUUUCCUCUGUUGUUUGGUUAUUGAGCUAUCAUUGUGACCUGAUUUUCGAGGAAUAAGUUUUGAUGGUGGUACUCUAUUUCUAGGCCAUGUUGCUUUUGUGACACCGAUGCCUUAAGCUAAUGUUUGCCCACAUAAGCUGUUGGAUUACUUCUGUCCAGUUUGCCUCAGCAAGGUGUUUGAGAUUCAACAAUAUGUUUUUUGUAUAUUUCAAGAUUCAAGAUUAUUACUCUGGGUUAUUUGCAAUCAAUUUGAUGCUGAUUGAAGCUGGCUAUCUUGAGAUGGUAGUGAUGAGGUUUGCAAUUGUUUCAAAUCUUUUAAGGGAACAAAGCAAAUUAGAAGGCGUUAUUUCUUUUAAUAAUCUAACCGGUAUGUUUCAUGGAGUAUUAUUGAAUUUGCUUAUUGGGUUAUCUCUUCUGCAUGUGCGGAAGAUUCGAUGAGUUGAAGCACUUGGUGUGACAUUACUUCUGAUGAUAGGCACCAUGUUGUGUUGAUUAUUGGAAAUCAUGGAGUCACAGAUGGUCGUAGUGUUUUGGGAAAACAAUUACUUGGAAAAAAACAAUUACCCCUUUUGAUCGCACAUUUCAAUUCUUUCAAACUUGGUGAUAUAUAUUAGGUGUUCUAAUGAUCACUAAUGACUUGGAAAAAUUGCUGGAUGUUGCCAUGCUCCUACAACAAAAGUUAGUUCUUGGGUUCAAUAUCAACCUGGAAAUGAAUCUGCUUUGGACAUGGACUCUAUCGGUUAGGAUAAUCCGCAUCAGAUUUUUUUUUGGUUUGGUAUGGUUUGGUAUUGUUUUUCAUGAGUACUAGCUCAUUUCGCGCUGAAACUUUUUGUGCCCAUAGGUUCCAUGUGAUGCUCUUAUUGGAGGGAACAAUGGAUUCUGACAUGGCGUUUUGACAAGUAUGGGAACUGCUUUUUUUUUAUUGGAUUGGUUCUGGACUUGUGCGCGUCUGUAGAUCUGUGCUGUGGCCAUCGGGAUCUAUUUCAAGUGGUAUUGGAAGUCAUGCUAUCAAUGUGCGUCAUAGAUUUGAAGAAUUGUGGCGGCUGGUGUUUAUCGGAUGGAGUUCUCCCGUUAUGUUUAUUAAAAUGUUCAGUCGCACAUGGACAAGUGGAAUUUACUCAAUAGGACAUGAAGAGAUGGUCUUAGAUGUCGAACUAAUUGGUUGGGAUUUUUUUUAACUCUAUUGCUUUCUACUUAAUUUCUAGAGGUGUUUUUUUGGGUAUUAAACUCGGUUCCUGUUAUCUUUGUUGCCUGCUUACAAUAGUGAUUCACUUGCAAUUCUUUUGUUUGGUCCAUGGAUACACAUUUAUCUAUCUAGAUGGUGUUUGUCCUGAUGCUUAUUCUGUGGAUCAUGUUUUAUCAGUUUGCUUGGUUUUGUUUUCCAAAUUCCAGGUUGCUCAAUGAGGUACAUGUGCUUAUCUCAAGAUUGAAUGUUGAAGCUUUUCUUUCUUUUUUCUUUUUUUGGGAGGGGAGAGAGAAAGGGGGGGCGAGCGGGGGUGUUAUUUUUCGUAAAUGCUGAUUGGUUUGGAUCCAAACUGGUUUAUUUUAAGUGCCAUCAUAGUGACUUGGAUAUGUUUCUUUUGAAUUUGUAGCUCAUUGCAAGUUUGUGGUUAUUGGCUUUUUGAUUAGGGGAUUUACUUCGGCUGGUUUAGUGGUUUGAAAGAUCCAUAUGAUUUUAUUCCGUUUGUUUUAGAGUAGUAUUAAUUUGCUUCUUGUUGUCGAGAAAUGUAAUCAUCUCGCCCAUGCUUGCGGUUGUUUGAAAUAAAUCGUUAGGCUAGUCUUCAUUGCAAUUCCAAGGGUGGUUAUCUUAUUUUGGCUAACUUCUGUUCUAGCUCCUUCCUUUGAAUCUUGAUGGUGAAUCAAAGGAAUGGAUGACUAAUAUCUCUCACGUCUUAAGUCUCCUUUUGACUUAGAUCGACGAUCAAGAUUUGAUCUCACUGAAGAUGGCAAGUCUUAAGGCAUAAAAAAUCUAUAAAAAGGGACUCUUCUCGGUUACCAAAUUCUCUACACACCUUCUCUCUCCUCUCUCUAAAAGUUCUCUCUCUCCCUAGUUGUUAAAAAAGGGGCACACCUCGGAUCUAGCUCUCUCUCUCUCUUUUGGUUGCUUCGAACGGGGGCCACGCCCUAAGUAGUAGUUUCACUCUCUCUGAAGUUGGUAAAGGAGAGGGAGCAAACCCAUGCUAGGUGUUGGUAAAGGAGAGGGAGCAAACCCAUGCGAUGUAGGUUGCAAAGGGGGCCAAACAAAGUUAGUAGAUUUCUCUCUUUGAUUUUUAUUUCUUAUCUAUCUAAAGAUCAAGCAAGGGGGUUUGUGUAAGAUUAAGGCAGUGAGGCCUUAGGUAGUUAGUUUUAGAUCGAGAUCCAUAUACCAUUGAGAGGGUUUUAUCAUAAGUAGGAGAAUCAAGAGACCGAUGAGAUUCGGCGCAAGGUGUACUAAGCCCUCAGUAAUUUUACUUCUUUAAAAUUUAUUUUUGUGUUGAGCUCUUUUAUUCCCAUAAAGCAAUAAAUCAAUGUUUUGAUUUAAGGAAUUGUAUUCAAUAGUGGUAGCAAGUGAGAAUCAUGUUUCUUUUCUUUUAUUUAUUUGUUUCAAGGGUUAUCUAUUUGUACUUGGACGUUGUGAGUGGUAUUGUUGGUGCAAGAAAAAAAAAAAAAAGUAAAAUUUUAGUUUAUAUACAUCGUGCUUGAUCACAUAGUCCAACUUUCGUCGGUAUCAGAGCUGGAUCUACUUGCUGCCUUAUUUCUUUUAUUUCACUAUUUUUGGUGAGUUGGGAAUGAGAUAUAAGAAAGCCCUUGACUUUUGUGGUCAAGAAUUAUUGGCAUGUUCAAAUACCGAAAAAGCACUCUGCAGGAAAUGGUAUUUUGUGCUGCAUUCAAGCAGUGAUAUGAAGAAGAUAAUGAGGUAUUUCUUUGAUGCAUACUUCAAUGAUACUAUGUAUUUAUGAGAGUAAGAUCUAUUUGCAAAAUUUCAGUAGGAAAUCUUGAGGGAAUUGAGAGUUAUGGCCUCAUGAAAGGUGUCAGUUCUAAGCUUGAAAAAAUCUAGGAACUGUCCAUUGAGUUCCAUGAAUUUUUCCACCAAUCAUAUUAUUUU